rnacentral:tRNA from 1 species
GCCUUCGUGGUGUAGUGGUCAGCACGCUCGACGCGUAACCUAGAGGUCUGUGGUUCGAUUCCCGGCAAAGGCG